GCUGUAAUGGCCGAGUGGUUAAGGCGUUGAAUCCAAUGGGGUUUCCUGCGCAGGUUCAAAUCCUGCUCACAGCG
rnacentral:tRNA from 1 species